GACGAACGCUGGCGGCGUGCUUAACACAUGCAAGUCGAACGGAAAGGCCCUGCUCUUGCGGGGUGCUCGAGUGGGGAACGGGUGAGUAACACGUGAGUAUCCCGCCCUUGACAUUGGGAUAUCUUCAGGAGACUGGGGCUAUUACCGGAUAGGAGCCCCCGCUGCACGGGGGGGGUUGGAAAGUUUCGGCGGAUGGGGAUGGACUCGGGGGUUACCACCUUGUUGGUGGGGUAGUGGCUUACCAAGGCUUUGAAGGGUAGCCGACCUUAGCGGGUGACCGGCGACAUUGGUCCUGAGAGAGGGCGCAGAAGCCUACGGGAGGCAACAGUGGGGAAUCUUGCACAAUGGGGCGGCGCCUGAGGCAGCGACGCCGGGAGCGGGAUGACGGCCUUCGGGUUAUAAACCGCUUUCGCCUGUGACGAAGCGUGAGUGACGGUAAUGGGUAAAGAAGCACCGGCUAACUACGUG
rnacentral:rRNA from 1 species